rnacentral:misc_RNA from 1 species
GCUAGACUAGAGGUAGGGAUGCAAAAUCAAUUCAAGCUCUGCUCAUUUUUAAACGAGCUUUCAAUUUAGACUCGGGCUUAGAUCCCUUGUUAUAUGAAACAUGCUAAGCCAACCACAAUCACAUUCAUAUGGAGCUCAUUUGUUCAACAAGACUAAACGAACCCAAAUAAAGUCAUGAUUGAAUAAAAUAACAUUUUAAGUUACCAAUGUAAUCAUUCA